rnacentral:rRNA from 1 species
ACGCUCGACACCUACGGAGGCAGCAGUGGGGAAUAUUGCACAAUGGGGGAAACCCUGAUGCAGCGACGCCGCGUGAGUGAAGAAGUAUUUCGGUAUGUAAAGCUCUAUCAGCAGGGAAGAAGAUGACGGUACCUGAGUAAGAAGCCCCGGCUAACUACGUGCCAGCAGCCGUGGUAAUCUGAGCGGGCUGGCAAGGC